UACAGAGGUGGCAAGCGUUGUUCGGAAUUACUGGGCGUAAAGGGCGCGUAGGCGGUCUUGUAAGUCUUGUGUGAAAUCCCUCGGCUUAACUGAGGAACUGCACGAGAUACUGCGAGACUUGAGAUCGGGGAGAGGGAAGCGGAAUUCCGGGUGUAGCGGUGAAAUGCGUAGAUAUCUGGAGGAACACCGGUGGCGAAGGCGGCAUCCUGGACCGAGAUUGACGCUGAGGCGCGAAAGCCAGGGGAGCAAACGGGG
rnacentral:rRNA from 1 species